rnacentral:rRNA from 1 species
GAUGAACGCUGGCGGCGUGCCUAAUACAUGCAAGUCGAGCGAACAGACGAGGAGCUUGCUCCUCUGAUGUUAGCGGCGGACGGGUGAGUAACACGUGGAUAACCUACCUAUAAGACUGGGAUAACUUCGGGAAACCGGAGCUAAUACCGGAUAACAUGUUGAACCGCAUGGUUCAACAGUGAAAGACGGUCUUGCUGUCACUUAUAGAUGGAUCCGCGCCGCAUUAGCUAGUUGGUAAGGUAACGGCUUACCAAGGCAACGAUGCGUAGCCGACCUGAGAGGGUGAUCGGCCACACUGGAACUGAGACACGGUCCAGACUCCUACGGGAGGCAGCAGUAGGGAAUCUUCCGCAAUGGGCGAAAGCCUGACGGAGCAACGCCGCGUGAGUGAAGAAGGUCUUCGGAUCGUAAAACUCUGUUAUUAGGGAAGAACAAAUGUGUAAGUAACUAUGCACGUCUUGACGGUGCCUAAUCAGAAAGCCACGGCUAACUACGUG